rnacentral:tRNA from 1 species
AGCAGGUUUCGAGGGUCGCUAGUGAAUGUCGCGAGACAACGCAAACCCCGCUGGAUUGCCCUCUCAAGGCGGUGGCGCGGGUUCGAAUCCCGUCGGGGCUA